UACGUAGGGCGCAAGCGUUGUCCGGAAUUAUUGGGCGUAAAGAGCUCGUAGGCGGCUUGUCACGUCGGGUGUGAAAGCCCGGGGCUUAACCCCGGGUCUGCAUUCGAUACUGGCUGGCUAGAGUGUGGUAGGGGAGAUCGGAAUUCCUGGUGUAGCGGUGAAAUGCGCAGAUAUCAGGAGGAACACCGGUGGCGAAGGCGGAUCUCUGGGCCAUUACUGACGCUGAGGAGCGAAAGCGUGGGGAGCGAACAGG
rnacentral:rRNA from 1 species